AUGCGCUCCUCUAGUUCGUUUCUAACACGUUCGUCCCUGGUGGCAUCCCCGCUCGAGGUCCUUUUCCACCCCAUCCCCUGGGUUGGAUCCAUGUGCUUGCUGGUGAUUCUAGGAUGUUGUGUGUGUGUGUGUGUGUGUAUUUUCAGUUGUGUGAUCUCUGGUUACACUUUUGAGAGGCAGAGUUUUUGGGAAGAAGCAUAUGCUUGGUUUGAUAUACGAUUGCCCAGACUACACUCUAGCUCUUGGGCGAGGGGCAUUUUAUGUGAUCCUAUGAUGGCAGAGAUGGACCGAGCUAAAAUUAUCAUCAUCAUGUCGACUAUUUGGCACUCACGCAACAGGUUAAAACAUGACCAAAAGGGCCUGGAUCCUGCUACUUCCUUGCGCUCCAUCAAGGAGUCGCUUGCAUUGCUGGAAUUGCCACGGAGUAAUACCAAAAUACUCCCAGGUUAUGGAUGGAGGCCUCUGGAUGCGGGUACUGUUAAGAUCACGACGGAUGGGGCAAUCAACUUCGCUCAAAAUUGCAGUGGUGCGGGUGGUGUCGCGUGCUCGAGCACUGCAUUCCUGGGAGCUUGGUGUAAACCACAUGUGGGUAUUUCUGACCCACUCUUCGCGGAAGCUUUGGCAAUGCGUGACUCGCGCAUGUCAUCAUGGAGAUGGAUUGCCUAG
rnacentral:rRNA from 1 species